GAAACGACUCCACGCCGAUGAUAGUGCGGAUUGCCCGUGUGAAAGUAGGUCAUCGUCAGGC
rnacentral:rRNA from 1 species